rnacentral:lncRNA from 1 species
UUUUCUGUUAGUGAUUUAUAAUGAUAUGUUAGUGUUAAUUAAGGUUUUUAUUUUUCUUUUAAAAAAAGUUUAGUGGCCAUAAUUGCCAUGGUUUACAUACAGUAUAUCAGAGCUUUGUAAUUUAGUUGUCAGUGAUGGAUCAGUGCCAUUGCCCUCCACUACUAUGUGUUUGGUGUCCUUCCAGGUCUUGGACCUGGAUGGCAUCUCUGAGUUUUCCUCUCGAAGCUGUUUUUCAUUGCUUUUGAUACAUGAUAUGUCUAAAGACUUGAUAAUUUAGCUGGCAAAAGUACAAAUGUGUUUUAACAUUGAAAUGCAGUGGGGUGGCCUUGGCAUUGAGAAGACACGAGUUCUAGUCUUGCCUCUGAUACAUACUAGUUUUGUAUGUAUGGAUCUGAGCAUAGGCAAGACAUUUCAUCUCUUAGUGCUCUAGGCAGAUCUCGGAUUCUGUAAGUAAGAGAAAAGUGGCUGAUGUGCAUCUGUGAAUGGAGAUUCCACAUGAAGUGUUCUUUUCUUUUCUUUUCUCUCCUUUUCUUUUUCCUUUCCUUUCCUUUCCUUUCCUUUCCUUUCCUUUCCUUUCCUUUCCUUUCCUUUCCUUUCCUUUUUCCUUUCCUUUCCUUUCCUUUCCUUUCCUUUCCUUUCCUUUCCUUUCCUUUCCUUUCCUUUUCUUUUCUUUUCUUUUCUUUUCUUUUCUUUUCUUUUCUUUUCUUUUCUUUUCUUUUCUUUUCUUUUCUUUUCUUUUCCUUUCUCUUCUUUUCUCUUCUCUUCUUUUCCUUUCUCUUCUCUUCUCUUCUUUUCUUUUCCUUUCUCUUCUUUUCCUUUUUUUAACUGUGCAUUUUCAGUGAAAACUGUUUGUAUUGCUUUUUUUGGAGCCCAAUGCAAAAAACAAGAUUCUCGCUUCAGUAAAAAUUAUUUAAUCUCGAUAGCAACCCUUGGAGGGUAGGAGCAUUGUAUAAUGGCGUAGCCAUUGCACUCGGUGGUAGAUGGUGUGUUAGCUUGAAUCUUUGUCCCUCUCCGUUUAUACUUUGCCACUUGACUGUACAUUCCUUCCAAUAUUAAAUUCUAGUUCUCUGACUCCAUGGGAACUCUUUGGAAUGCAUGUGGCUAGCAGUGUGAUUUAUAGCCCAACUUUUUCAAUAAUCUACUAAUCAAAUCACUUUUUUUGCUAAGCCCCAGGAACAUUUGGCCAAGGGAUCAUUUCCGUAUGCAGAAAGGCCACAGACACAGUUGCCGUGUCCCCAUUGUUGAGAUUGCAAUAUCCUCUACACUUGUUCUACUCAAAUUUUAUUUUUAACAAUGCCUCUUGUAAAUGCAAUAACAUACUCGGGGGAAAUUCACCACAUUGAAUGGAGCUGCUUUUUGAAGCAUGGACUGGGACUUGGGAAGGGCAAUGCAUUAUUCUCCGAGCUGGCAUGUCAACCCACCGAGGCACACUGCAGAGACCAAUGAUAAUGCUUGAUGGAAACUGAUGAAUGCUUGGCACAGGGUCAAAAAGUGUUUGGGGAUUAAUAAACAUGUACAGAGACGCCA